rnacentral:rRNA from 1 species
AUGGAGAUUGACUGCCUGGAGCUAGUUGAUCUAUGGAAAUCGCGCAGUAACACAAGAUCAGUUGCUGCGCCUAUCUUGAAUGAUUUAGAGGAAAUUGGUGCUACCUUUGCUUCUCUUUCGGUUACUCAUGUUAGUAGGGAAGCUAAUAUGCCGGCGCAUCAGUGUGCUCGUCUAGCUAGUACACUGGAUGGCACCGAGAGUUGGCUUGAUGCAAGCCCUGAUUUUUUGGUUUCUUGUCUGCGGGCUGAUUGUAACACUACGAUACUACGUUAA